GUGGCUCACUUCAGCAGCACAUAUACUAAAAUUGGAACGACACAGAGAAGAUCAGCAUGGACCCUGUACAAGGAUGACAUGGAAAUUUGUGAAGCAUUCCAUUAAAAA
ensembl:snRNA U6 U6 spliceosomal RNA